rnacentral:rRNA from 1 species
AACGAACGCUGGCGGCAUGCCUAACACAUGCAAGUCGAACGAGACCUUCGGGUUUAGUGGCGCACGGGUGCGUACCGCGUGGGAACCUGCCCUUAGGUUCGGAAUAACUCCCCGAAGGGGGUGCUAAUACCGGAUAAUGUCUUCGGACCAAAGAUGUAUCGCCUUUGGAUGGGCCCGCGUUGGAUUCGCUAGUUGGUAGGGUAAAAGCCUGCCAAGGCGACGAUCCAUAGCUGGUCUGUGAGGAUGAUCAGCCACACUGGGACUGAGACACGGACCAGACUCCGACGGGAGGGAGCAGAGGGGAAUAUUGGACAAGGAGCGAAAGCCUAAUCCAGCAAUGCCGCGUGAGUGAUGAAGGCCUUAGGGUUGUAAAGCUCUUUUACCCGGGAUGAUAAUGACAGUACCGGGAGAAUAAGCACCGGCUAACUCCGUG